ACACUUAUACAGUUUUAUAAUUCCAAGGCUAUAAAAAUAUACACAUACACACAUAUAUAUAUAUAUUAUAAACAUAUUUUAUGGAUUCUUUUUUUUUUUUAAUAGUGCUUAAGCGAAUUAAAUAGACCAUUGACAGAUUAUAACUACUGGUAUUGUCCUAUUUGUAAAAAAAAUGGCGUAUCUAUGGGCGUCUCUUACAAGCGGAAGAAGAGAUUAAAAACGAUAAGUACACAAGAGAAAAAAAAAGAAAAAGUAAAACAGAAAACUGAAGGCAGCAACUACACAGGUCAAAUAAAUGUAGGGGAUAACUAUCAAGUAUCAAAUAUAACUACUUUCUUUUUAAAUAGUAAUUCAGAGACAUAUGAAGAAGAAAACACAUCAGAGUUAGUUUAUUCACCUCACCUACUAGAGCGAAUGAAAGAAUGUUACUUAAGUGAAGGACAGUAUGAAUUAGUUUUAAAAAAUGAUUACGAGUUGGCUGUUUUUAUUAAGGAGCUAGCUCAGAAUUGGAAAUGUCAAAUGGGAUGGUAUCCAUUUACUCCUGAAUAUGCUUUUAAGAUUUUACAUCGAGUGGAUUAUAACCCUAAGAGGGCUAUUGAACUGCUGAAAAGUUCUGAUUUUAAUUUUUUGGGUAAAAAAAUAAAAAUAAGGAACAGCCACAUACCUAACAUAUACAUAUUUAUACUCAUAUAUUUAAACUAAUAUAUUUAAACU
rnacentral:lncRNA from 1 species